rnacentral:rRNA from 1 species
AGCGAACGCUGGCGGCAGCCUAACACAUGCAAGUCGAACGGACCCUUCGGGGUUAGUGGCGGACGGGUGAGUAACACGUGGGAACGUGCCUUUAGGUUCGGAAUAGCCCUGGAAACGGGUGGUAAUGCCGAAUGUGCCCUUCGGGGGAAAGAUUUAUCGCCUUUAGAGCGGCCCGCGUCUGAUUAGCUAGUUGGUGAGGUAAUGGCUCACCAAGGCGACGAUCAGUAGCUGGUCUGAGAGGAUGACCAGCCACAUUGGGACUGAGACACGGCCCAAACUCCUACGGGAGGCAGCAGUGGGGAAUCUUGCGCAAUGGGCGAAAGCCUGACGCAGCCAUGCCGCGUGAAUGAUGAAGGUCUUAGGAUUGUAAAAUUCUUUCACCGGGGACGAUAAUGACGGUACCCGGAGAAGAAGCCCCGGCUAACUUCGUGCCAGCCGCCGCCGUAAUAC